AACAUUCCAUUCAAGAUUCUUCUAAUCUUAGGCAAUACUCCAGGGCUUCCACAGCAUAUCAGUGACAUGCAUCUUGAUGUAAAUGUUGUGAAUCUGCUGCUGAACACAAAUGCUUUCAUUCAACCAAUGGACCAAGGCACAAGAGCUGUGUUCAAAGUAUACUGAUAUGCCAGACAUUUGUGCAGGCUGUUGGAGUGACUAAAUCUGGCUGCAUUCUAAAUUCUAUCCAAAACAUCACCACAACAAGGGAAGAAGUCACACAGCAAUGCAUGAACGGCAUUUGGAAGAAAGUUUUGAAGACAUAUGUGAACACAUCCAAAGGCUUUAACAAAGAUUCUGCUGUUGAUUAAAUAGUAACAAGAUACCAGUGCUUAGGAAAUCACUAGAAUUGGACAUUGAUAAAGAGAAAAUUUAUGAGCUUGUUGGCAUUGAGGCUGAAGAACUUUCCAACGAGGAGCUAAUUGAACUGGAGGAAGAAAGAAGUAAAGAAGUUGAGGCAGAGAAAGCAGAAGUUAUGUCCAAGGCACCAAGAAUGUUCACAGCAAAGAAACUGGCAGAAAUAUUUGCUACUACUAUUAGCAAUGGCUUUUGGAAAUUACAGAAAUGGAUGUCAAUUACAAGAGAUUCACAAGCGCUGAUGGCAGAUACAGGAUGCUCUUGCUUGCAAUAAAGAGAAAUAUAUAAUGAAAAGAAGAAACAAACCAUACAGUCAAAACUUGCUGUCUUCCAGAAGAACACUGUGCCUGCUAAACCAUCAACAAGUGUAAUGCCCUUCUACUCGCUAUUCUCAAGCCUCUCAGAAGAGAGAGAUUGAUAACCCUGUUGCUGCAAGAUGUCCAUCAUCCAGCAAUUAUUUUUAGUUCAAUGCUUCAGACAUUCUUCAGGCCUAGCGGGCAUUCUUCUGUGUACGUUAUUUCAUGAUGAUAAGGACCUUGAAGACAAAAGUCACGUCUUAUUUGCCAUUUAUCCUCAUCGUAUAGCAGAGGGUGUGUGAGAUCUGCCAUUAUCCCCUGGGCCAUCUAAUUUUUUAUUAGUUAGUUUGUUUGUUUUACUGAGUGUCCAAAUGUCUCUUGCACUAUUGGAGCACAUUUCAUAAUGAAGUGAAAGUGAAUGACAGCAAAAUAUACAUCAAGAUCCCAGGUUACACUUUCUAAUCUGUCUGUACACAUGAAGCCACAGCACCAUGGGAACUGCGGGCCAGAAGGAAGUUUGAGAAAUUUACUCGAUGUAGGUUCUGUGCCAAGGAUUGCUCACCAGAAGCAAGACUAACUUCUCAGACCAAUUUUGUGCUUUAUAUUUAGAGUGCAGAAUGGAGGCAAGGGCAACUGUGAUUAAGAUGACAAUAUAUGCCUCGAUAGCACACUUGAGGAGAUAGUUGAAUAAUGUUUUAAAAGAUACAAAGUAGGACAAUACAUUUCUCUAAAAAUUAAAAUUACAGAAACUGUCAGAUUUUAGUUCAGGAAAAAGAAGUGAAAGGAAAAUAUAUACAGUUGACCUUAAACAGCAUGGGUUUGAACCACAUUGGUCCACUUAUAUGCCAGUUUUCCUCCUCCUCUGCCGAUAACAAGACCAACGCCUUUUCGUCCUUCUCCUCCUCAGAUUAUUCAAUGUGAACAUGGUGAGGAUGAAGACUUUUGUGAUGAUCCACUUCUACUUAAUGAAUAGUAAAUGUAUUUUCUCUUCACUGUGAUUUUCUAAAUAAUAUCUUUUCUCUAGCUUAUUGUAAGAAUGCAGUAUGUAAUACAUACAACAUAUAAAA
rnacentral:lncRNA from 10 species